rnacentral:rRNA from 1 species
GACGAACGCUGGCGGCGUGCUUAACACAUGCAAGUCGAACGGAAAGGCCCUGCUUUUGUGGGGUGCUCGAGUGGCGAACGGGUGAGUAACACGUGAGUAACCUGCCCUUGACUUUGGGAUAACUUCAGGAAACUGGGGCUAAUACCGGAUAGGAGCUCCUGCUGCAUGGUGGGGGUUGGAAAGUUUCGGCGGUUGGGGAUGGACUCGCGGCUUAUCAGCUUGUUGGUGGGGUAGUGGCUUACCAAGGCUUUGACGGGUAGCCGGCCUGGGAGGGUGACCGGCCACAUUGGGACUGAGAUACGGCCCAGACUCCUACGGGAGGCAGCAGUGGGGAAUAUUGCACAAUGGGCGGAAGCCUGAUGCAGCAACGCCGCGUGCGGGAUGACGGCCUUCGGGUUGUAAACCGCUUCCGCCUGUGACGAAGCGUGAGUGACGGUAAUGGGUAAAGAAGCACCGGCUAACUACGUG